rnacentral:rRNA from 1 species
AGGUGUAGGCGCAGCGAAAGCGAGUCUUAAUAGGGCGUUGAGUUCGUGGGAUCAGACCCGAAACCGAGUGAUCUAGGCAUGUCCAGGAUGAAGGUUAGGUAACACUAACUGGAGGUCCGAACCCACACCUGUUGAAAAAGGUCGGGAUGAGGUGUGCCUAGGGGUGAAAGGCCAAUCAAACUCGGAUAUAGCUGGUUCUCCGCGAAAUCUAUUUAGGUAGA